CACUACAAGAAUCCGUCAUUUUACCAACGGCAAUUUACCGACCGCAUUAAUAUCUGUAGGUAUUGUAAAAAUUACCGACCGCUUAAAUGACGAUCAGUAUUUACCUACCGCUCAUAGAAAAUACCGACCGUCUAGCGGUAGGUAAUUGUUUCAAAACAAACCGACUAACUUUGUCACUCCAAGAAGCCCAACCCAUAUAAAAAGCAAAACCCUAUUUACUUUCUUUUCACCCGCCUCUUUACUGCUCUUCUUAUCUCUUUGUUUAUCUCAUUUCUCCAUCUUUUUUUUUAGGGGAUCUCAUUUCUACAUCUUACUGUUCUCUUCAUCACUCCACCGUUUUUGUGUUUUAUGUGGGAGGAGUUAUUCACAUUAUCAAUUUAUUGUUCUUCGUUUGGGUGAUUUGAGCAGCAGCGCGAUUAUAGAAGAUAAAAGAAGCAUCGAAAUUAUAGAAGAUACAAGAAGACUCUAAUGGUGAAGCAUCGGAAUGAGUGUGAUGGGCUGUUGCCAAAAAUUUUCAAGCAACAAGGUGUUCAUAUUUGAUUUUAUGUAUUAGGUUUAGAUCUAGAUUUUAAGAUUACUCCAAAUUAAUUGUUUUUAUCAAGUUUAAGUGAUUGGGAUCUUUGUGGUUGUUGAUUUCUGUAUUUUGUUGUAUUAGUUCAUUUUGUAUUAUAAUUCUCAAUACUUUUUUUCGAGUUUCAUCAGGUUUAGGUUUUCCUCCGUCUUCAUUUUUUUUGUUUUAUAACUGCUUGUAACAAGUUUGUGGUGAUAUAGAAGUAAUUAUAAAUAUAGAUCUGUAUAUUUUUGUAGCAAUGAACAUAUUUAAUUUGUAUUA